ensembl:snRNA U6 U6 spliceosomal RNA
GUGCUCGCUUUGGCAGCACAUAUACUAAAAUUGGAACGAUACAGAGAAGAUUAGUAUGACCCCUGCGCAAGGAUGACACGCAAAUUCAUGAAGCGUUCCAUACUAAA